GUGGGGAAUAUUGGACAAUGGGCGAAAGCCUGAUCCAGCAAUGCCGCGUGAGUGAUGAAGGCCUUAGGGUUGUAAAGCUCUUUUACCAGGGAUGAUAAUGACAGUACCUGGAGAAUAAGCUCCGGCUAACUCCGUGCCAGCAGCCGCGGUAAUACGGAGGGAGCUAGCGUUGUUCGGAAUUACUGGGCGUAAAGCGCGCGUAGGCGGCUACUCAAGUCAGAGGUGAAAGCCCGGGGCUCAACCCCGGAACUGCCUUUGAAACUAGGUAGCUAGAAUCUUGGAGAGGUCAGUGGAAUUCCGAGUGUAGAGGUGAAAUUCGUAGAUAUUCGGAAGAACACCAGUGGCGAAGGCGACUGACUGGACAAGUAUUGACGCUGAGGUGCGAAAGCGUGGGGAGCAAACAGGAUUAGAAACCCCUGUAGUCC
rnacentral:rRNA from 1 species